rnacentral:lncRNA from 1 species
GUUUUCUGCCGCAGGCACUGUCCUCUCAGAGGCAUUCUUUCCUGUAAUCCUCUUAAUCCUGUGAGUCACAUGGCGAUGAGGAGAGAUGUCGGGUGGAUGAAGGCCAAACCUGGAGGUGACUCAGAGCCCUAGAGUAAAUUCUGAUCUGACUUUCGUCACUCGUCACCCUUUUACUGUGUCCCUUGGAGCCACUUCCAGAAGGAUUUACAACAAUGACCUGAGCCCUUCUGCAAGGUAGGAGGCCCAGCAUUGUUUUCCUCAUUUAGUAAAUAAAGGGAAAUAAGACUAAGAAAUUGACUAAUUUUAUUUUUUUUAUUUUUUUAU